UUGCACCGUGGAUUAGUGGCGAACGGGUGAGUAAUACGUGAGUGACCUACCUUUGACUCUGGGAUAAGCCUGGGAAACUGGGUCUAAUACCGGAUACGACCAAUCUCUGCAUGGGGUGUUGGUGGAAAGCGUUAUGGAGUGGUUUUAGAUGGGCUCACGGCCUAUCAGCUUGUUGGUGAGGUAAUGGCUUACCAAGGCGACGACGGGUAGCCGGCCUGAGAGGGUGACCGGCCACACUGGGACUGAGACACGGCCCAGACUCCUACGGGAGGCAGCAGUGGGGAAUAUUGCACAAUGGGCGCAAGCCUGAUGCAGCGACGCCGCGUGAGGGAUGACGGCCUUCGGGUUGUAAACCUCUGUUAGCAUCGAAGAAGCGAAAGUGACGGUAGGUGCAGAGAAAGCGCCGGCUAACUACGUGCCAGCAGCCGCGGUAAUACGUAGGGCGCGAGCGUUGUCCGGAAUUAUUGGGCGUAAAGAGCUUGUAGGCGGUUGGUCGCGUCUGCUGUGAAAGGCCGGGGCUUAACUCCGGUUUUGCAGUGGGUACGGGCUAACUAGAGUGCAGUAGGGGAGACUGGAAUUCCUGGUGUAGCGGUGGAAUGCACAGAUAUCAGGAGGAACACCGAUGGCGAAGGCAGGUCUCUGGGCUGUAACUGACGCUGAGAAGCGAAAGCAUGGGGAGCGAACAGGAUUAGAUACCCUGGUAGUCCAUGCCGUAAACGUUGGGCACUAGGUGUGGGGGGA
rnacentral:rRNA from 1 species